rnacentral:rRNA from 1 species
UAAUAGUGUAUAUUAAAGUUGUUGCAGUUAAAAAGCUCGUAGUUGAAUGUUGGUGUCGAACGAGCGGUCAGCUUCGGCUGUACUGCUCUCUCGACUCCUUCCUUCUGUGGACUACGUCGCACUUUACUGUGUGGCGCUAGGACGCAGAUCGUUUACUGUGAAAAAAUUAGAGUGUUCAAAGCAGGCCGUACGCUUGAAUACAUUAGCAUGGAAUAAUGGAAUAGGACGUCGGGCCUAUUUUGUUGGUUCUAGGACCGUCGUAAUGAUUAAUAGGGACAGUUGGGGCCGUUUAUAUUCCGUAGUCAGAGGUGAGAUUCUUGGAUUUACGGAAGAUAAACUACUGCGAAAGCAUUCGGCAAGGAUGUUUNCGUUAA